AUGUGUUGACAUAGUGAAUCCGUAUGGGGCCCCUUCGAUUCACUAUAGUCCUCAUAAUCUUGUAUUCUCUAUCUACUUCGUUGAAUAUUGUUGUUGUUGUCUUGGAAACAUAGAGAAGCCGAGUGGGGCCUUUGAUUUUUUAUUGUUGUUAAUCUUGUAGAUCUCUUGACUUCGUGUUGAGUGUUCGAUCUUGUAUCAUUUGGUAUCAAAGCAUGGCUUGAUCUUGUUCCUACAAGAUCAAAUCUUGAGUUUGCUUGUUAGAAAAAUAAAAAAAAAGUGUUCUUGUUCUUGGCCGAAUCUAGAAUUCGUUGUUGUCUUGGCCGAAAACUUAUUUGUGUGUCUAGAUCUAGUAGAUUUUUUUUUGUCUAGUGUGUUUCUUGUGUUGGUUUCUUUCUCACUAACACAAAAGAUGUCUAGAUCUAAAGUUGAGCUUAUAAUAUUGACUAAUGUUGUGGUGACUUGAAGAUGGUAGUAUGUUGUGCCUUGUUAUUGACAAUUGGUGGUGUUGUGUUGUGUUCUUGAAGAAGUUGUUAUUGUGUUCUUGAAGAUUGUUGUGGUGUUCAUCUUGUUCUUCAUCUAUUCUUACAACUUAAGACAACAAAAAGUGUAAAAAAAUCCAAAAAGUUGUAAGACAAAAGUUAUAAAGUUGUUUGUGAGAAGACUUGCACACAUCACUUCUUAGACUUGACAUCAACUUUUCCAACUACAAUCCUUAAAUCAAGGAGCCUUGUUUGGUGGAACUAGUACAAGUCAAGAUCAUCUUUUGAUAUUAAAUUUACAAAGGACUCAAAGUCUUGUAUUUUUCCCUCCAAAACCAAUCGUUCUCCAAUUCUAAAUUAUGUGAAAGUUGAAGAUUCAAAUUUUUGAUUAAAUUAUGUGGGCCCGAGACAAAUUGCUUGCUGCACAUUACCACUUGCUACUUUUUACGACAGUAUUGAGCUCAAAUUUGGAUUUUUUAGUUUCUAAUUGUUGAUUCUUGGUUUCAUUAACAAACUAGUGAGUUCCUACUAGAUUGUCAAUUAGCCCUUUGAAUCCAUUGUUCGUGUCUACGUUUCUUUUGUGCUUUUAUCAUUUUUAUAAUUGUAGUGCUUCUUGGUUCAAGUUCGAACAUUACUUACUUGAGUCGUACAACAGGUAAUCCAUUCUGACUAAGGAGUAGACUUACUCUUCAACUCACCAUAACUACAA
rnacentral:lncRNA from 1 species